CGUGGGAACGUACCUUUUGGUUCGGAACAACACAGGGAAACUUGUGCUAAUACCGGAUAAGCCCUUACGGGGAAAGAUUUAUCGCCGAAAGAUCGGCCCGCGUCUGAUUAGGUAGUUGGUAGGGUAAUGGCCUACCAAGGCGACGAUCAGUAGCUGGUCUGAUAGGAUGAUCAGCCACAUUGGGACUGAUACACGGCCCAAACUCCUACGGGAGGCAGCAGUGGGGAAUAUUGGACAAUGGGGGCAACCCUGAUCCAGCCAUGCCGCGUGAGUGAUGAAGGCCCUAGGGUUGUAAAGCUCUUUUGUGCGGGAAGAUAAUGACGGUACCGCAAGAAUAAGCCCCGGCUAACUUCGUGCCAGCAGCCGCGGUAAUACGAAGGGGGCUAGCGUUGCUCGGAAUCACUGGGCGUAAAGGGUGCGUAGGCGGGUUUUUAAGUCAGGGGUGAAAUCCUGGAGCUCAACUCCAGAACUGCCUUUGAUACUGAAGAUCUUGAGUCCGGGAGAGGUGAGUGGAACUGCGAGUGUANAGGUGAAAUUCGUAGAUAUUCGCAAGAACACCAGUGGCGAAGGCGGCUCACUGGCCCGGUACUGACGCUGAGGCA
rnacentral:rRNA from 1 species